rnacentral:lncRNA from 1 species
AGUGCUAGGUUAGUCGACUCAGACAGAGACUGAGCCAAAUCAGCUAUGCAGGUAGAGCACAGUGGGAUUUCUAAUUUUGUCUGGGAUCGGAUUUUGAUCCUUCUUGUGCAAAUGUUGUACGAUGUUUUUCUAGAAAGAAAAGAAGGUGGGCAUGUGCCCUCUUCUUAUUUCUAUUUGAGGAAUUCAAAAAGGAAAGGGGCAUCGCCCCUUAUGAAUAGGUGGUUGGCUGG